AGCACUCGCUGCUCCUGAGAACCAGUACCAUUCUCAUAACACGUUUCACUCUUGGUUAUUCCGUCACGGAGUUUUCAGAGACUGUCAGCCAGUUGGUGCUCAACUGGUUUUCGGUGACUGGAGUCGGGGGUGCCCCUUCACCUCGGCGAUACAGUUUAGCGCCUUUGGAGUUUAAACGAGAGAUGAUCCAGGGAUGCUUGGACGAUGGCAUAUUUCUACUGAAUUAUCGUGCGUGACACAAAGAGAAAUUUUCUCUCUUUCUUUCUUCAUCUGUAUACUCUGGUAUCUCCAAGGAUAAUACCGGGUGGGAUAUAAUAAUGCUCUGAGUAGAGACACAAUGCGAUAUUUUCUCUUGGUAUUUUUUCCUGCAAUCUACCGCGACCGUACUCUCACCUUAAAGUCUCCAAUUAUUCUGUUAUUGUCAAAGCACGAAUGGUAUCCAUGAGUUUCCAAGCCAUCGGGUCUUCAGCCAGACCCGGUUUCUCGUGAGCAGAUCUGAUGUCAUCAUCAGGACGGAUACCAAAAUCGUCGUAGCGCCACCUGGACGUCUUGUAAACCAGACCAGGACCCAAUCUUCUGCUCCUCCCUUCCUCAUUACAAGGAUCCGUCCGAUCUUCAGGAUCAGUUUCAGAAAUCUGAAGGUCCGAUCUCUGUUCAUGCGAGGACCCAGGCAGAAGGUAGAGAAAGAGUGGUGAUGAAUGAGGUCCUCGACCUCGACCGGUGUCUGUUAAGGUAAAUCAGCUAUAUUCCUUGUCCCUUCUCAGCAUCCCUUCUUUUUCCCUCCCUACGUGCCACUCUGAUCCCUACUUCACUUCUUGUCUCGUAGAGUAUCGUGGAACGUUCAGGUGGGACGCGAACACGAAUAAUUCAUCAGGAUGGCAUGACGAACGUUUCUAUGAGCAAAAGGGUGUAUAGUGCUUUAAAAUUCAAUUCCCCAUAAUGCUCAAGUACAAUAUAUAUAUGUUUCUGUCUUUGCCCUCUCUGUCCUUCUCCCUAUCACUCGCCCUCUGUUCCUCUCUCACAGUCCAGUCAUUCAAUCCACUCUGUCCCCGAACCCCUUAUCCUCUUGCACUGCCACCAGGCAACCGAGUCUGUGGAGAAGCCGCAAGCUUAUCCAAACAAGCCGAGUCAGAGAGAUUUCGGAAGCAGAAGCAGACCGAGGGAUUUAGGCAUUUCGUAUUCCUUUCGGAUUUCAUUUUCCGUAGUUGUAUACCUACGCGUGCGGCCUCUGCAUAUAGAAGUUGAGUUAGCUUUUAGGUGUGGUAAGGAGAUAGAAAAAAAGGUCGAGAGAGCGGAUGAAAGUUUGAGGGGGCGAGAUGAUCAAUGGAAAUUAUGAUUUUAGAAGUAUGGGCCAAGGGUGUAUCCAGGAUCCUCUAUGGUGUCUAUGGGAAGUCAGGAGACCUUCUUUGACUGAGGAAACUGCUUGCUUCCGCGAUGGUGGUGGUUUUAGGGGUGGACGAAAAUUUUAUGUAAAUUUUUUUACUUCGCUCAACGGUUAGCUCGGUCCCACCCUCGCGCACACAAGCUCUGUCGCAAAAUAAUCCCCUAUGCCAGCUUAUUGAUCAGAUCACAAGUCGUUCGAGUGCUACCCAGAUCCACCACCCUUCGCAACCCCUAAAGCAUCGGGAGUCCCUUGCUUCCCUGAACCCCUGGCGCACCCCAAUCCACCCUUGAAGCACGGGGCAUUUUUAUUCGUGCGUCGCGACGCCCACCCCCCGACGCUAAGCCUCCCGGCUCCUCUAACCAGACUCCACACACCCACCCACCUUUUCUCUACCCCAUCGACGUCACCGUGCGCGGCAAAGUCGCACCGCCAUUUUUUUCCUCUCCCUUCUGCUUCUUCCUUCCCCCUUUUUUUUACCACCCUCUGCGACUCGACGCUUUCAUACGAGCAUGCAGGAACAUACUUGGCUCAACCGACAACCCCCUACGACGUACCUUAUCCAACCUUCUCUCCUUUGUAACGGCAGAACCGGUACCACUCUACCACUAGCCACCCCUUCAGACGAAAAAUUGAUUAAUAAUGCUCGUUGGAGCGCCGACUCCGCCGCUUUCAAUAUUUUCUCCUCCUCUUAAGGUGAUGAAAAAUACGCACGGGGGUGUAGCUGAGGCAAAAUGUGAAUAAAUUGAAAUGGGGGUGAAUUUACAAAAAAACAAAUUGUUAGCAUUAGGAUCUCAAGGCUAUCUAAGGAGAAGUUCCUGUUGAACCAUAUCACAAAUUUUGGGAAUGUUCGGUCAACAAUAGUAAAGGCAUGAUGGGCAAAUUUUCGUGCAGUUAUUAAUAUUAAUACCGCGACACGCGGAUAGAUGGCAUUAGUCAAAAAAAUUGUGAAUUUUUUAAUUCUUCAAAAAACUACCCUCGUAUCGCGAUAUGACUAUCGCAAUCUGAUGUCACGGUGAUUACCAUUCUGUCGUGUAUAUCGACCUUCAAACCAUUGACAAUUCUAAUAUUAAAACUUCCCAUGAUAGAGGGUGGUUCCCAUCGGGUCGUCGAUAGAGGGUGGAACCGCGAGGGUUGCGCACAUGUGAAUCGCCACGUGGUGAAGGUCAAGGGAGGUUGGCUAGUGCGAGCAUAGGGGAUGAAACUCGAGCGAAUGGGAGAAAAGAAGAUGAUGCGGUGAAAAGGGGAUGAAACGACAGAGGGUUCCAGCGAGAGGUCGGUCGGUUAAAUAAGGAACAGAAAUAAAUAGGAAGAGAAGAAAAGAGCUCGUUAGGGGUUCUGCGCGAGUUUCUGAGUACCCAACUACCCCAACUACCCCUAGCGACCCACACCUUCUUCCUUUUUCCUCCUUUGCCGUUUCUGUUCGCUCCUGGCAUUCCUCCCUCUCGUCCUUCUAGCCGCCAUUUUAUCCAGGUUCUCUUCGGCAUCUCCAACUCCUCAGCUCACCCUUAGCAAUAUUUUCGACGUUAAUUUUCAUUCCCUUAGUCUUCCCUUCUCUUACCUCCCCCUCCCCCCUUCUUUAUAUUUGAAACCUGACUCGCCCCCCUCUUUCGACUCCCUGUCCUCUUUACUUGACUCCGUCAUCCCCUUGCGUCCCGCCAGCAAUGUUUAACCUCACCGUUAGUAGUCAACCUUAUUGCCACCCCUAUUCCACGAGUAUUACCAUCCAGUUACACGUAUCUUUAUUUAAAGUCCACCAAAAGGUUGGUCACUCCGAGUUUACGGACAACCCUCGUUCAGUGUCCUACCGUAUAUUAACACCGAUCGAUAUAACCAUUGAUUCUCCAUGAUUUAUUGGAUUUCACAACAGUUCCGGUUCUGUCCCGUUUGUAACGCCACCCUACGGGGACUAAGGGUGGCUUGUUAAGUCGUCGGGGUACCUUCAGGAUUUCUUGUUUUUGUUGACUGGCUUCUGCCCCCUAAUUUGGUUAGUACUCCUCUGUGUCCUUCCUUGUGCUUGGUAUGGGGGGGGGGGUUCAGCACCACCCCUCCAUCUUUCCUCAGUGCUGAUAAACGUAUAACGAUUAUCACGUGAUCGAUAUACUACUCUAUACGAGGGGGCUAUUGAUUCCGUUACAGGUCUUUGCAGUAAGUGCGAGAAUAACGGUACCUGGAGUUGAACGAAAUUGAAGAAAUUAUUGCAGUUUACCUAAAAUGUUAAAAAAAAAAAAAUCAACCCUUAAAAUACUCACGGCAUCUAGCCUGUGAUCGGGUAGUUUAAUUUCUCGGCAUUCAUGGCCGUUCUUCGGAGAGGCCGUACGAUCUUUUUUUACUCAGCCGUAAGUAGGAAGGACCUGUCGAGAAGAAACUAACCCUAAUUUAAGGGUGGUUCGGUAUCUCUUGUACUUGGAGUCAAGUCAUUUUUUUAUCAGCCGGUGGGCUGGAGAUUUCUGGCAGUUACGAGCAAUUGCCUCCCACCAUUCCGCGCCAUUGCCUCCACCUCGUUCUCAUCCUUCAGUCACCACCUUUAACCAACCCUCUCAAUAGCCUGAACUACCCGCUCCAUCCAGCCUGCCCGUCCACGAAUUAUCCCUCUCCUUUUCGCUCGCAACCCCUUGGCAAUGGGAGCUGGCGAAAAUUGCGUGAUUAACCGAAGCCGCUUCUUGCUUCCUGCCCCUGCCAUUCUCUCUCUCUCUCUCUCUCUCUCUCUCUCUCUCCUCUGCCAGACGACUAAAACUACCCCCUGCCAACAUAAACCACCCCUUUAGCUACCUUUUCACUCUGGCCCACCUCACCUCCGUAAUGUCUCUCGUCUCCUAUAUCUUUCUAUCUUCGUCUUCACUCUCCACCAUUUUCCGGAUAUUUAGCGACGGACAAUUCCGAAGGACUCCUUCCUGUUUCCACUAACCACCCACCUUUUCUCCCGAGCCCGCAAUCCUCAGAAACAUCCCCCGGUUACAUCCCCUCAUUUAAUCUCGACAACCCUCCCGGCCGUAAUGGCGGUAAACAGUUUGUCGUCGAGGAUGGUACACGCUAAUCGGUCUGCCAUUAAAUUCGCCCAAUUAAUGCGCAUUCAAUGGCUUCGCACGGCCAGGUCUUUUUAGAUGUCUGAUACCUGUCGUAUUUUUAUUAUCCAAGUAUUUUCGCUAGUACGUGUAAUCAUGUUCUGAUAAAAAAUUAAAUAAAAAAAUUCACUAAAAUCGUCACGAAGAUGGAAAACCGUGUUUAACUAUGUUGACCUAUUGGUCCUCUUUGUUGUUAUUAACAAUUUAGAUAUUAGCAAACGUACUGCGUGGCUGACUAUUAGGGUGUUAAUAUUAAUUAUAUAUGGGAGCUAUAAAUUAUAUCCCAAUUAAUUGUUUUUUUAAU